UUCCCCGCGGGAAGGCACCCCAGGACCCCAAAGCCCGGUCCCAUGGGAGGCGUGGGGCUGUGUGAGGCUGGGCCCCCAUCCCCUCGCCCAGUGCACCCUGGCUCCGCGGCUCGCCUGUCUCAGCAAGUUGCCCCGCAAAGCCGUGUCACGUGUCCCCACGCAGAGAGUGUGCUCGGGUGGCCGCCGUGUCCCCCACGGGCCACUCCAGCAUCCCGCCUGGCAGCGAGGCACGACAAGCCCUGUGCCAAGGGGCCGAGGCGCCGGUGCAGGGUGAGGGUCCCUCCCGGGAUGGCGUCCUGCCAGGAGCCGCGCCUGUCCGCCAGCCCCGGCACGUCCGCACCCUUUUAAGGACACACCAGGAAGCGCAGGGAGGGGUAGCAGGAAUAAUUAAAGAUCUGCCUGUCUUCUAAUUCUUAAUCUGCCAAAUGAGCUGACAGUGGCAAGAUGUGAUGGGUUACUCAGAUUGCAAAGUGGUACCCAGCUGACUGCUACCUCUGUGAUGCUACCAAAUCUGUGACCUCUCAGAAAAAAACCCAAAAUGACCUGACGGUUGUCUGGUAAAGAGAGU